CCUGACCUCAGGUGAUCUCGGCUUCCCAAAGUGCUGGGAUUAUAGGCGUGAGCUGCCACGACCGGCCUUUUUUUUUUAUUUAUUUUUUAUAGACAUGGGGGGCAUUUUGCUAUGUUGCCCAGGCUGGUCUUGAACUCCUCGGCUCAAGCGAUCCUCCCACAUCAGCCUCCCAAAAUGCUGGGAUUACAGGCAUGAGCCACCGAGUUCAAGACCAGCCUGGCCAACAUGGUGAAACCCCCUUCUCUACUAAAAAUACAAAAAUUAUGGCCAGAUACAGUGGCUCACCCCUGUAAUCCCAGCACUUUGGGAUGCCAAGGCGGGCAGAUCACCUGAGGUCAGGAGUUUGAGACCAGCCUGACCAACACGGAGAAACCCCGUCUCUACUAAAAAUACAAAAUUAGCCGGGCAUGGUGGUGCAUGCCUUUAAUCCCAGCUACUCGGGAGGCUGAGGUGGGAGAAUUGCUUGAAACUGGGAGGCAGAGGUUAUGGUAAACCGAGAUCACACCAUUGCACUCCAGCCUGGGCAAAAAGAGUGAAACUCCUCCAAAAAAAAUGAAAAGAACAGAACAAUUAGCUGGGCAUGGUGGUACAUGCCUGUAAUUCCAGCUACUUGGGAAGCGAGGCAGGAGAAUCACUUGAACCCAAGAGAAGGAGGUUGCAGUGAGCUGAGAUGGCGCCACUGCACUCCAGCCUGGGCAAGAGUGAGACUCCGUCUCAAAACAAAAACUAACAAAAAAACCUGCACACAGCAUAUGCACACCAAUGGGGAUAGGCCCACCCGGAUGGGUUCACCUAGACAAGAACAAGUCUGGGGACAAAUAUGUCCCUCGAUAAAGAUGUACAUAAAAAUCAUACAGACUUUGGCACACAUACAUUGCCCGGCUAACUGGGUUGUGAGCUCCUUGGAGGCAGGGAGAGGGAGUCACCCUCAAAGCCAUUACUUUGCACACAACAGAUGGUUGGUAAAAGUUUGAUUAAUUAAAUGCAGAAAUAUGCCUGCACACACAUGGGAAUGCACACAUACAACCACCCACCUAGACAGACAGAUACACACACACACACACGUACACACACACACAUCUGCUCACUCCCCCGCACCAGGAACCUCACAGCCUGGGUCCCCUCCUGCCACCACCUCCACCCUGCCCUGGCCCACUUGGCCUUCCUGUCUGAGGCAACCUCCUCCUCAGCCCACACCCCCAACUUCCUCUCCUGAGGUAACUGCCGCACCCACUCCCACGGAGGCCUCCAACCCAGGGAUGCCCCCGCCGCCAGCCCUGCCCUGUUGCCUGGAGCCACAGGGCCCCUCUGUUCUGGCCACACAGUUCUCCCCAGACCAG
rnacentral:lncRNA from 10 species